rnacentral:rRNA from 1 species
GCAUAUCAAUAAGCGGAGGAAAAGAAACUAACAAGGAUUCCCCUAGUAACGGCGAGUGAAGCGGGAAGAGCUCAAAUUUGAAAUCUGGCAGCCUUUGGUCGUCCGAGUUGUAAUCUAGAGAAGCGUUUUCCGCGUUGGCCCAUGUACAAGUCUGCUGGAAUGCAGCGUCAUAGAGGGUGAGAAUCCCGUCCUUGACAUGGACUACCAAUGCUCUGUGAUACGUUUUCAACGAGUCGAGUUGUUUGGGAAUGCAGCUCAAAAUGGGUGGUAAAUUCCAUCUAAAGCUAAAUAUUGGCGAGAGACCGAUAGCGAACAAGUACCGUGAGGGAAAGAUGAAAAGCACUUUGGAAAGAGAGUUAAACAGUAUGUGAAAUUGUUGAAAGGGAAACGAUUGAAGUCAGUCGUGGGCUUUGCAUUCAGCUGGUUCUGCCAGUGUACUUGCUUUGCUCGGGGUCAACAUCGGUUUUGGUCGUCGGAAAAGGCUUGGAGGAAUGUGCCACCCCCGGGUGAACUUAUAGCCUCUUUGCUUAUACGAUGGCUGGGACCGAGGAACGCAGCUUGCCUUUAUGGCCGGGGUUCGCCCACGUACAAGCUUAGGAUGUUGACAUAAUGGCUUAA